ensembl:lncRNA
UGCCCAGAAGAAAGUGAGCACUUAAGCCUUUCCGUUUUACUUUUCUGGAUGAGUCAUUUCCUCAUUCACUCUCCUUUUCUGAAUCACCGUGUUCUCCACAACUUACAGUAUUUAUGACAGAUAGCAAGAGCAGGGUGAAAAUAGGUGAUAAUAGAAACUCAAAAAUCUCAAGAUUUAAUAAAGGAUUUGUCUUUUAAAUCACUUUAGUAAGGGAUUUACCACUUUUUAUCAAUUCCAUUGGCCUUUUGACCCUCAUUUCCUAAUCAUCAGUUAAAACCUUUUCAAGAAACCGUGUGAAACAUUUCUCUUUACACUUUGCAGCCUCAUCAACAGUUGCCUUGGGGUAUUGUUUCUUUUGUUUCUUGGGAUCUACAUCCAUCAUGGAGGCUCUAGGAAAGACCACCUUGUCAGCAGGUAGUAGCAGAACGGUCAAUUUUGUAGAUCAUCAGAGCUCCAGAAUUAAAAAAGGCAAUCCAGUCAAAGUAAGGUUGACAUCCUGUUUUCCUUCAAGUCAGCUCCCUGGGCAGGUCAGCCCAAUUUUCUUUCAUUAUCUCCAUUUUUAGCUCACACACCACUUCCUUUUUAUACCUUUUUCCUUCUUUCUCGGAUGCAUUUCAAGUUUGCUCAUUAUUUUCCUGGAACUCGUACGUAGAGGUAGGCAGAGUUUGCUUUGGUUGAAUUUGGGUAUCGCGUUUGAAAGGAAAACAGUUCAAGGAAAAAAAAAAAAAAGGGCGGAGUGGGUUGGGGACAACCGAGCCGGACCGGAGCUCCAGCCUUGAGUCAGACCGACUCCCCAACGAGCAGACCCACCACCCGAAGGCAGCCCGCCGCGCGGGAGGUUGCCAUGCCGGAGACGCCGGGAGUCCUCGUCCCGAAGGUCCACACGGUGGUAAACGACCGCUGUGGGAAAGGCGUCUCUACUUCACCGCCUGCCGGAGCAACCAGCAGCACCAGCCCAUCAGCCUUCUCCGCGUUUGGGAGAGUCUGGCUCCCAGAAAGCGGAGCCCCGGAAUUCGACCGUACAAGCCGGGCGCCAAAACCAACACACGGCCUCCGGCGCGGCCCGCACUUCCGGCGUGGGAAGGCGAGGGGCGGCCUGGGGAUUCUGGGAAGUGCAGUUCGGGGACCCGGGGCGAUGGGAUAACUUCCGCUGCAGCCGGCUGCGGCCGCGUCCUGCUCCCGUCGGGAAUUCUGGGAAGCGUAGUCCAGACGGGCUCUGCAGGCAGAGACGCUUCCGGCCCAGGUAUGCGCGGCCGCGGCCUUCGCUGCUCUCAGAAAGAAACACAGUUCGCUGAAAGCUCCAGGGAACCUAGGAAGGGGUCAGAGCUCCAGUUGUAGUGUCCCUGGCUCCUCUCGGAUCCCAGAAGGAACCCGGCUCUACCCGAAUGCCUAGGAAUCUCCCCCCACCCGGCCCCCCACCCCUGGCUGUUGUCUGGGAUGUCCACUGGAAGUUAUGGGGAGUUCUGAUUUCUCCCAGCCUCCUUUCCUUCCUCAACCUAGACUUAACAAAAGGUGAGGGGAAAAGUCGGGAAUGAUCCUUUGGCCUGGCAGAGUCUCACCUGA